UACGGAGGGUGCGAGCGUUGUCCGGAAUCACUGGGCGUAAAGGGCGCGUAGGCGGCGCGGAUAGUCGGCGGUGAAAGCCCGGGGCUUAACCCCGGGUCGGCAGUGGAUACGGGCAGGCUAGAGGUAGGUAGGGGAGAAUGGAAUUCCCGGUGUAGCGGUGAAAUGCGCAGAUAUCGGGAGGAACACCGGUGGCGAAGGCGGUUCUCUGGGCCUUACCUGACGCUGAGGCGCGAAAGCGUGGGGAGC
rnacentral:rRNA from 1 species